rnacentral:rRNA from 1 species
CACGUAGGGGGCAAGCGUUGUCCGGAUUUAUUGGGCGUAAAGAGCUCGUAGGCGGUUCGGUAAGUCGGGUGUGAAACCUCCAGGCUUAACCUGGAGACGCCACCUGAUACUGCUGUGACUCGAGUCCGGUAGGGGAGCGUGGAAUUCCUGGUGUAGCGGUGAAAUGCGCAGAUAUCAGGAGGAACACCGAUGGCGAAGGCAGGUCUCUGGGCCGAUACUGACGCUGAGGAGCGAAAGCCAGGGGAGCAAACAGG